UUUACAAUAUUUUUAAUAACUUUCAUGAAAGAAUUCUUCUCUCAGAAGAGAAAUUUUUUUUGACUUUCAUAUUUCUUGUGUUCCAUAAAAAUGCCAUUUAAGUUUUAAAAUAAGCCUUUUAUGUUAGAAUUCUAUUAAAUCUCGCGUUUUCUGAAAAAUUAAUCUUGAUCUCUACUAUUACAUUGAAUUUGGUAAAUGGCUUUAAAAAAACAGCGAUAUAUUGACCAAACGCAGGCACCAAACCGAAAAUACCCGUUGCUAAUAGUUUCAUAAUUUAAUUCAUUGAUCGUAUAUUCCAGUUUGACGCAAUUGUUACGAUUUGAACCAUUUCAACUGGAGUUCUUGAACUCUUUCAAACAAACAGGAGCGAUAUGACCGAAAAGGGAAAGAAGAAAAAAGGAAACGGUUCAGAAAAGAAGGAUAAAAAGAAGUCCCAAAAACCGAAAAAAGGGGGGAAGAAAGGUCGUUAUAAAAGUGCAAGAUUUGCUGUUGACAUAUUCACAGAGGCAGCAAUGGAAAAUGCUUAUACCACGUGUCAUAACGUUCAGGAUUUACUGAAAAACAGGGGGUUUCCCUGGCCAGAUGCCCAAAAAAAGAAAAAGAAAGGAAAGAAAUAAGCAAUACACUGAAUGACU